AUGGUAGGAGGCAUUGGAAACACAGAGAAUGGAACGGGUCUAACUGAUGAGAGUGAUGUCACCCAGACCCCCAUACUGUGGAAAUAUAAGGGUGAUAAUGCAACCAUAGACUGCAGACACACCAAAGGUGCUACCUACUUCCAGAUGUACUGGUACAGACAGCUGCCAGGAGAACUCAUGAAACAAGUAGUAUUCACUACAGCAAGCAGCCAACCUGACUUUGAAGCAGAAUUCAAGGGUCACAAAUUCUCAGUCACCAAACCCGACGCUCACAGUGGAACAUUCACCGUGAUGGAUCUGGUCCCAGGAGAUAAAGGCUUGUAUUUCUGUGCAGUCAGUCAACACAGUGAUACAGACGCAUGUGAGAGCUGA